UUGUUCCUCUGCCUAGUGUCAGUAAACAAGCCUUCUUCCCUCUGUAUUGUCGUCGGCCACAAGAUUUCGAGCAUCAACAGAUUUCUAUAGCCUAUUGACAGAGAGGAAGAAGAUUUGGCAGCAAUAUACCUUUGCUGGCAACAACAAAUCGUGUGUGUGGAUCAACAAUCAAGGCUGUGAAUUUAGGUUGAUGCUGUCAGGAGGGAGUUCCAGUCGCUAGUCCCCACA